UCUUGGUGUCGUAUCAUCUUGGUUGCAUUCAACAGCUGGGUGGAACUCCCGACAAAAACUUGCUUCAGUGACGUUUUCAAAAGAGAUGGAAAUUGGACCGCUUUGAAAUAACCCUUCCGUAGCAUCAAGACUCACUUCUCCUCGUUGUCAUGGAUUUUAAUGUCAAGCGGCUAGCUGCAGACGCGGGUACCUUCCUAAGUCGUGCUGUGCAAUUCACAGAAGAGAAGUUUGGCCAGGCUGAGAAGACAGAAUUGGAUGCCCAUUUGGAGAAUCUUUUGGUAAGAGCUGAGACCACCAAGCAAUGGACAGAAAAAAUCAUGAAGCAGACCGAAGUCUUAUUACAACCCAACCCAAAUGUCCGACUUGAGGAAUUUGUGUACGAGAAACUGGAAAAAAAGGCUCCAACGCGAAUGAACAACCAUGAACUGUUGGGCCAGUCCAUGAUUGACUCAGGAAAUGAAUUUGGUCCCGGGACUGCUUAUGGAAAUGCUUUGAUAAAAUGUGGCGAGACCCAGAAGCAAAUCGGCGGUGCAGAGCGAGAGUUAAUUCAAAGUUCUGCCAUCAAUUUCCUGACCCCUUUCAGGAACUUUCUGGAGGGGGACUUCAAAACAAUCCUGAAAGAACGAAAGCUGCUGCAGGUCAAGCGUUUGGAUCUGGAUGCAGCCAAAACGAGACUCAAGAAGGCCCGCAUGGCUGAUGCUCGAGCUGCUGCUGAACAGGAGUUAAGGAUGACUCAGAGUGAAUUUGACCGUCAGGCUGAGAUCACGCGACUGCUGCUCGAAGGCGUCAGCAGCACCCAUGCACACCACCUACGUUGUUUGAAUGAUUUUGUGGAGGCUCAGACGACCUACUAUGCGCAAUGUUACCAGUAUAUGGUGGAUCUGCAAAAGCAGUUGGGAAGUUUUCCUUCGUCAUUCUCCAAUAACAACCAGUCGUCAGUUACGGAAGGGGCCAGCAUUUCAGUGCCCACCAUACCAGUGUCGGCCUCCCUGCCCACCUCUUCCAGCCGUGGCGGCGCAGCCACCUCCGGUGGCUUCAGCGAAUUGCGUAUCUCCAGUGGCAGCCGCAAAGCGAGGGUCCUUUACGACUACGACGCGGCGAGCAGCAGUGAACUUUCCCUGCUGGCUGAUGAGGUUAUCACAGUCAGCAGCGUGCCAGGCAUGGAUUCAGACUGGCUCAUGGGAGAGCGAGGCAGCCAGAAGGGCAAAGUACCAAUCACCUACCUGGAAUUACUUAACUGAAACUUGCAAAUAGCAUCUUCAGUCGUGAGCUUAUGCUGCCAUGUCAGCCCUCUUCCAUUCUGUUUUUAUUUUUUAUAAUAUAUAAAAAGUCAGGCUCCAUUUUUAGUGAGGACACCUGAACUCGAAGCUGGAAUCAGCUCGUUCAAGUGAACGAGGGGGGAAAUGGAGUUGAUAUUUUUGCAUGCAACUGCCUUACAUUUCAUUUUUUUUUUUUUAAGUUGCCUCUCUUCCAUGCCUUUGUAUUUGAUAUUAAGCAAUUUGCAAUGGGUGCCAGAACACCUUCCAAAGUUUUCCAUGCAUUUCUUUUUGUUUACAUAAUAUAAAUAUCUAUAUACAGUAUACACAUCUCAGUUGCCUAAGCCUGUAAGUUUGGAGUCUCUCUCUACUUUGUUCACUGCUACCGUAAAGUAAUUUUUUUUUUCCCUUAACACUUCAUCCUGAAAACCAGGGUGAUGCUCGUUCAGAAUUGGUUUGACCAUAAUGAGAUAUUGUAUUUAAGUUUAUGAAAUAGCAGUUGGCAACAGCUUUGUGAAGUUUGGCACAAGCUAUGUGAGCACUUGGAACUUUUAAGUGCCAGAUGAAAUUAGUCGGGAACGAAAUCAGUUUUAUUCCAAACAAAUUGCCAAACAUUUUCAACAACUUUUAGUUUUUGUCCAAAUCCAACAGUAUUGAGAUUGGCAAUUUGUUCUACAUUUUAGCCUCGACUCCUGUUACUUGAUAUUUAUUGCUAAUUGGAAAACUCACAUCUUGAAAACUCAAAAGAUGUGAACAUCAAAAUGUUCACAUUUUUGUAGGGAUUUGUCAACCCAUGGCUACUUUAUGAGAUUAAGUUAUUUGCUGGGUGUAUAGUUGGCAAAUGAUAGUUUUAUCGUAUGGCACGUUGAUCAAUAUGCUAUCUUUGAUAUCUUCUGAUAUGAUGAUAUCAUCUGAUAUGAUGGGUGUGGCAUGGCUAACACAUCAUCCUUCCCCAACUGCAUCUCGUCAUGAAUAUGUUGUCUUUACAGUGUGGAAGCUUUAAGUAUGCCAUGACACAUGUGCUAUUUGUUUGAUAAGAUUUGUAAAGUGAAUGCAUUAAAAAUUAAUAAUUAAAAAAGGAGGCCAUUUUUA